UUACAGCCACGUUUAAACACCGGUUCCUCGUACGAUCACCGAAGUUAAGCAACGUUGUGCCUUGUCAGUAGUUUGAUGGCUGAUUGCUUAAGAAUACCAGCUACUGUAAG